AAGGAUCAUUACCGAGUGCGGGCCCUCUGGGUCCAACCUCCCAUACGUGUCUAUCUGUACCCUGUUGCUUCGGCGUGGCCACGGCCCGCCGGAGACUAACAUUUGAACGCUGUCUGAAGUUUGCAGUCUGAGUUUUUAGUUAAACAAUCGUUAAAACUUUCAACAACGGAUCUCUUGGUUCCGGCAUCGAUGAAGAACGCAGCGAAAUGCGAUAAUUAAUGUGAAUUGCAGAAUUCAGUGAAUCAUCGAGUCUUUGAACGCACAUUGCGCCCCCUGGUAUUCCGGGGGGCAUGCCUGUCCGAGCGUCAUUGCUGCCCUCAAGCACGGCUUGUGUGUUGGGCUUCCGUCCCUGGCAACGGGGACGGGCCCAAAAGGCAGUGGCGGCACCAUGUCUGGUCCUCGAGCGUAUGGGGCUUUCUCACCCGCUCCCGUAGGUCCAGCUGGCAGCUAGCCUCGCAACCAAUCUUUUUAACCAGGUUGACCUCGGAUGAGGUAGGGAUACCCGCUGAACUUAA
rnacentral:sRNA from 1 species